rnacentral:ncRNA from 1 species
AAAGGCUUGGUCCUGACCUUAAUAUCAAUUUCUACCCAACUUAUACAUGCAAGUCUCAGCACCCCAGUGAAGACGCCCUAAAACCCUCAUAGGGAUAAGGAGCCGGUAUCAGGCACAAUAAUUAGCCCACAACGCCUAGCCACGCCACACCCACAAGGGACUUCAGCAGUGAUUAAUAUUGAGUAUGAGCGUCAGCUUGACUCAGUCAGGGUAAAUAGAGCUGGCUAACCUAGUGCCAGCCGCCGCGGUUACACCAGGAGCUCAAAUUGAAAUUUAUCGGCGUAAAGCGUGAUUAAAAUUAUAUUAGAUUAGAGUUAAACCCCAACUAAGCUGUGGCACGCUUGUUAGUGGGAAGCACAAAACGAAAGUUACUCUAACCACAUCAACUUGAACUCACGACAGUCAGGACACAAACUAGGAUUAGAUACCCCACUAUGCCUGACCGUAAACCUUAAUUUACACCCUAAUCGCCAGGAAACUACGAGCAAAGCUUAAAACCCAAAGGACUUGACGGUACCCCAUAUCCCCCUAGAGGAGCCUGUCCUACAAUCGAUAAUCCUCGUUUAACCUCACCAUUUUUUGCCUCUCAGUCUGUAUACCUCCGUCGUCAGCUUACCCCAUGAGGGAUAUUCCAGUAGGCUCAAUGUACAUUCACCAAUACGUCAGGUCAAGGUGCAGCUAAUAAAAUGGGAAGAGAUGGGCUACACUUUCUAAUAUAGAAAAUACGGAAGACUACUAAUGAAAAAUAGUCUGAAGGCGGAUUUAGUAGUAAGAAGAGAAUAGAGUGUUCUUCUUAACCUGGUACUGGGGUGUGUACACACCGCCCGUCGCCCUCUUCGAAGAUAAUAGAUUAGUAUUUAACCAGCUUUAAUAUAUAAGAAGAGGUAAGUCGUAACAUGGUAAGCGUACCGGAAGGUGUGCUUGGAAA